GCCCCGGUAGCUCAGCAGGAUAGAGCAGCCGCCUCCUAAGCGGCCGCAGCGCCGCUGUCUGGGGUGGUUUUUGACCAAGCGUCGAACCUGCGACAUAUAAAGAAGGGGGUUCGACGGAUUCGCGAGAGCGAAUCCGAACCGUGGAGCGUAGCGACACGGGCCCGAAGGGUGAGCGGCGAAGCCGCGAAUACUCCUUCUCGGGGCACCA
rnacentral:tRNA from 1 species